GGCGGCAUGCUUUACACAUGCAAGUCGAACGGUAACAGGUCUUCGGAUGCUGACGAGUGGCGAACGGGUGAGUAAUACAUCGGAACGUGCCUAGUAGUGGGGGAUAACUACUCGAAAGAGUAGCUAAUACCGCAUGAGAUCUACGGAUGAAAGCAGGGGACCUUCGGGCCUUGUGCUACUAGAGCGGCUGAUGGCAGAUUAGGUAGUUGGUGGGGUAAAGGCUUACCAAGCCUGCGAUCUGUAGCUGGUCUGAGAGGACGACCAGCCACACUGGGACUGAGACACGGCCCAGACUCCUACGGGAGGCAGCAGUGGGGAAUUUUGGACAAUGGGCGAAAGCCUGAUCCAGCAAUGCCGCGUGCAGGAUGAAGGCCCUCGGGUUGUAAACUGCUUUUGUACGGAACGAAAAGCCUGGGGCUAAUAUCCCCGGGUCAUGACGGUACCGUAAGAAUAAGCACCGGCUAACUACGUGCCAGCAGCCGCGGUAAUACGUAGGGUGCAAGCGUUAAUCGGAAUUACUGGGCGUAAAGCGUGCGCAGGCGGUUUUGUAAGACAGUGGUGAAAUCCCCGGGCUCAACCUGGGAACUGCCAUUGUGACUGCAAGGCUAGAGUGCGGCAGAGGGGGAUGGAAUUCCGCGUGUAGCAGUGAAAUGCGUAGAUAUCCGGAGGAACACCGAUGGCGAAGGCA
rnacentral:rRNA from 1 species